UAGGGGGGGUUGACAAAUACUCAUUCACUCAAUACACAAAUAAACUGUGAUAUUUUCUUGAAAAUGACAGAGUGGGAGACAGAAAACAGGAAAGCACACAAAAAGCGGUCAUUUCCGAUGCUUCCCAGAGAACCAGACAGUUUGGGAUUUUUUACCAAGAACGUUGCCACAGACAACAGCACAUAAUAACGCUUUCAUCAAGUGGGCCGAAAAGGUCACAGCGACGACCUACUUUAGUAAAACAAACCGCUUCAUUGUAUCAGUGGGGAGGAAAGAGGGAGAAAAACCAAAAACAGCCUUUAGCUCGGCGCUCCCGUGACUUGUGUUCUUCUCACAGAGUUCACAUGACCCACCGUCACAUGAUCUGUCUCCCAAACCGUCUCCCUCCCUCCAACAGGAACCCUAAACGCUCACCUGAAACAGAAGGGCCAGACGGCGGCCUCCGAGGCGCCGGUGUGGUCGCUGAACGGGAACCAGAACGACCGCUGGAAGCAGGCGAAGGUCAGCAUCCGUCCCACGGCGUCCUUCCAGGUGGUCCUCGAGGGUAUCCGAGGCCCGGGCAUCGAGGGGGACAUCGCCAUCGACGACGUCACGCUGGAGGAAGGGGAGUGUCGAGACCCACCGCCCAAUCUGAGCGCCGACGCUCCGUCCACGUCCUCCCAUAUAUGGCUGCUAUGCGUCACCUUGGUGGUGACCCUCCUGGGAGGUCAGAGGUGACCCUCCUCCCCGUCAUCUCAGAGGCGAAGAUUCAGACCCACCAGUCUGAGGACUGUACCCUCGGCAUCCAAUCACCAAAGAUUCAUGCAUCCUGGAAGCGGCAAGGGUCCCCUGCUAGACCUCGGAGGCCCGAAAUUAACGAGAGAGAGAAAAAUUCAAGAUUUUUAAAAAAGAUGCGCAAUUUUUUUUUAGAGAGACCUCUUUUACAGAAACAUCCUUGGCGCAGGACGGUGGACGUCUUUACGAGCACAAAGACAGGUGGCCGAUGGAUAAAGCCUGGACUUUGCCAAAAAAAAAGAGUUCACGAGCGUCGAAGGAGGACUGUUUGUAAAGCACAAGAACAGUUUUAUGAAAUACGAAAAUAAUCAAAGGCAGCGGAGCACAGACGCUGCGGACUUUUUGAAGAGGAAACAGCGUUUCCCGGCUUACAAACACAUGGAAUCAGACCUUUCUCUGUGUAUCUUCAUCUCCAUCUUCAAACCCUCGGCACGUCUCUACCUGCUCGGUGCUGAACCGUCGGCGACAUUUUGUUCCGUGUGCUUAUCCGACGACUCCCCCCAACCCCCCCCCCCCUGUAGCUGCCUAUGUAUCUAUUAACACUAUGCUCACGAGUCCAAGUGGCCAACCGACGGAAGGGUGGCAGAACAUUGAAUGCCGGAGGAAUCGGCAGGGGAGCAAUCAGCCGGACCGCAGGCCAGAGGAGGAGGAGGAGGAGGAGGAGGAGAGGAGGGAUGGGGAGGAAGAAGAGGGGGAGGGGGGGUGGGGGGGAGUGUGGGGCCUGACUGGAGUACUCCGUCGGCCGGUGGAACGGAAGCCACUUUACUUUCUGCCAUGAAACAAAGUGCCUUCAGAGUACAAACCGCGCGGCGAGACCGUUACUCGACAUCGAAACACGCCGCCGCUCACGCUUCCUCCGAUGGGCUAUUUUCUACAUGUUCAUUUCGCCCCACAAGUGCUGAGGGAGCACGGGAGAGGGGGGGGGGGGUUUAACUCCUGAUUGAACAGUGGCCUGUUUGUGUGUGUGUGUGUGUGUGUGUGUGUGUGUGUGUGUGUGUGUGUGUGUGUGUGUGUGUGUGUGCAUGCGCCGAAGCCUCUGCCCCAUGCAGAGUCCAGUGUGAGGUCAGCUGACCAGGAAGUGCUGGCAGAACAAGUCUGUUUUUUGUGCAGGACGACGAGCUCGCGCAGGAGGAUGAAGACGCUUGAUUGAAUGAAUUCUCCACUCUCUGAUCCCAUAAUUCUCCCCCCCCCCCCCCCCCCACCCCACCCCCCCUCCCAUGGGCGAGCAUUUUUUAAAACAAAAGAACAACUGCUGAAUAAAACGUUGCUUUGUACAGGGAGGAGAGCAGGAACUUUGGGACUGCAGGCCCUUCAUUGGGGCCCCCGUCCUCCACCAUUUAUAUGGAACACUAUGAGAAUAAAAGAUAAUAAUGACCAUAAUAGUAGUCAUGAUAUUUUAUUACUCUAGCGGGAAUGUUUCUCUGCUUUUACACAAACUGUGAAGAUUGACUGUGGAAGAUCUACCUGAGACCAUAACCUUAACCAGCGGGGUUUUUAAAAAAAAAAUUGUAUUGUAAAAAAGAGAAAAUAAGAAAAUGAAAAAUUCCGUCCAUUGUUGGUUAUGACAAAAUGUUUUGAGGACUUGUGUCUUGUUUCUUAUUUUUUCCGUUGAAGAUGAAUUUACUUCCUUUUUCUCUUCUUGUUGUCUCCCUUUGCAUCGCUUAAGUAUCAAAGCUGAUGGAAGCAUAAGAAGUCAAACCAAUUUGGUAACUGUAUAACUUGUAAAUGUUAAAGAAGCUCUAUUCAAAGGUUUAUGAUAAAUGUUUUUUUUGUGUUGGAGUACAGGAAGCACAACAUAACAGUUCCAGGCCCCGACAUAUAGAACCCAUUUUGUAUUUCUUUGCACACGUGUGUGUGUGUGUGUGUGUGUGUGUGUGCGUGUGUGUGCGCCCCCCCCAAACCAAGUCCACGUCCAACGCUAAACGCAUCAUUUAUAUUCAAAUGUAUCGUGCCACCGAAACGCUGUGCGACGGAGUGGGAAACCCAGUCCAGAGGGUGAAGGGGACUCCUGGUUGCAUUUGGGCCGCUUGGCGCCGUGUAGCCUGGUCCGAGCGGGUCCACAGCCGUGCACAACGAACAUCGGGCACACGUGUGUGGAAGAGCGGAAGCAGGAUGGCGGGCAUUUCAGGGCGUCCUAAUAAUUCCAUUAAAGGCUAAAUGAUAUUAUUACAGAGACAUUAUCACAGCUGUUUUCUGCUUUUAUUUAUUUUAUUUCUUCCCAUGAGGCCCAGAUCAUAAUGAAUGUAAAUGGAGUUAUUUUCUAACAGUCUUACUAGAUGUAAUGUUUUACUAAAACAUGUUUUUUGUGUGCUUUUGAUGAUGAGAACUUUCAGACUUUCAUAGGUUGUUUUGGACACAUCAAGAACAAAGAGAUUUGUGUGACUUUGACACAGACUUUGACACAAUUCCCCCCCCCCCCCCUCCAAAAAAAAUGCAAGCUCAGAUAAAGCAUCCAUUAGCUAUUUGCUAUCUCCUCCUGUGAAAUAGCAAGUAAUGAAAAGUGCCAAAGUGCCCUUUAUGUGCUCAGUAUGGAUAUGAGUUCCUUUAGAGAUGUUAGCACCUGUUCCUUUUUACCGGCACCCUGGUCACCUGGUCACCUUCUCCUGUGACCUGCAGCACCUGGUCACCUUCUCCUGUGACCUGCAGCACCUGGUCACCUUCUCUUGUGACCUGCAGCCCCUGGUCACCUGGUCACCUUCUCCUGUGACCUGCAGCCCCUGGUCACCUGGUCACCUUCUCCUGUGACCUGCAGCCCCUGGUCACCUGGUCACCUUCUCCUGUGACCUGCAGCCCCUGGUCACCUGGUCACCUUCUCCUGUGACCUGCAGCACCUGGUCACCUUCUCCUGUAGUAGUUUCACUUUAGCUUAGCUUAGCACAAAGACUUGGUGACAAGUGGGAACAUCGAGCAAACAGGCGUACUUCUCCAAAGCUCUAGCUUCUAAAUGACAGCUUCUAUAUCGUCCCUAUACUUUUUUUUUUGUUCGAAUUAUAUCAGCAUGAGAAAAACACACCUGAAUCGAAAGAAAGAAAAAAAACAAAGAUUUUCCUCCUGCUUUUGUGGUGUUUAUUAAUAAAUUCUGGGUACUUUCAGCUACUAAACUUCCAAUCCGUGUGAAGGACGUCUUGUUAGAUUUUUCCCAGGGAACUGUACAUCCAACCAUCCUUUCAUUUCCUUUUCACCCCGUGUCAGCUCCUGCCCCUUUUGUGUGCACGCCAGAUGUAAUGAAAGUCCACCUCCAAGUACAAUCGGAGCGGAUUAACGGAACCUGAACGCGUAAACAGCGCCGCGUUCGCCGACUUCGCUUCCCGAGGGGCCCAAGGUUUCCUGCAGUUGCUCACCGGCUAACGAGUGCGUGGCUUUUUAAAGCGCCACGAGUCCUUCAAAAAGGCCUCCGCCGCCGCCGCCGCCAUCAUCUCAAAUUGGAAGGUCUCCAUUUGACGCGGCGCGUGGGCGUUCAGUGAUGGGUGCUGCCUUCGCAAAUAGAGCGCAGUAUUAGUGCGGGAGGAGCAAACCUCCACCGUGUGGGCUGUGUACAAAGUUUUAACCUUCAUGUCUUCAGCUCGUGUGCCAAAGCGCGUAGUCCCCCCCCCCCGUUACACAUGAGGCGUUUGCCACAGUUGAAUUCAAUUGCAUUAGAUAGUAAAAAAAAAAAAGGCAAAGGGCUUUAACCAUUGGGUUGGAGGGAAGCAGGGUGAAUAUGGCACGUUUUGCCUUUUGUGCGACAUUAACGACGGGGGGGGAAACAUGGUGGGGGGGGGGGGUGUUGGUGGAUGAACGUACCCAGUAUUUACACCAAUGCCGCUGUAAAAGCAGGCAUCGAGGCGCCGGUGGGCUGCAACUUAAUUGGUGCAACGUGCAGCGCGCUGAAUCGGUUUUCCCGGGGUUCUGUGCUGAAUCGGAUGAAACUUUUUCCACGUGAGCUGAACCGUGACCGGUUGCUUACGCGAGGAAAUGUAAUUUGAAACAAAGUAUUGCCUUAAUUCCUAGAACAUGCGUACUUUGUAAUGUUAUAAACUCCGAGUUAUGCUCCUGUCGUUCCUGAAAGGUGUUUUUCUUUU